rnacentral:rRNA from 1 species
AGGACGAACGCUGGCGGCGUGCUUAACACAUGCAAGUCGAGCGAGGCUCCUCCUUCGGGAGGUGUCCUAGCGGCGAACGGGUGAGUAACACGUGGGCAACCUGCCCCUAGCUCUGGAAUAACCCCGGGAAACCGGGGCUAAUACCGGAUACGACCUCGGCCGACAUCGGCCGAGGUGGAAAGAUUUAUCGGCUAGGGAUGGGCCCGCGGCCUAUCAGCUUGUUGGUGAGGUAACGGCUCACCAAGGCGACGACGGGUAGCCGGCCUGAGAGAGCGAUCGGCCACACUGGGACUGAGACACGGCCCAGACUCCUACGGGAGGCAGCAGUGGGGAAUAUUCCGCAAUGGGCGAAAGCCUGACGGAGCGACGCCGCGUGCACGAGGAAGGUCUUCGGAUCGUAAAGUGCUGUCGAGGGGACGAUUAUGACGGUACCCCUGGAGGAAGCCCGGCUAACUACGUGCCAGCAGCCGC